rnacentral:piRNA from 1 species
CUGACGCCUUUUCUGUGUAGCC